GAUGAACGCUAGCUACAGGCUUAACACAUGCAAGUCGAACGGAGUGCCCAUGACAGAGGUUUCGGCCAAUGGAUUGGGUUACUUAGUGGCGGACUGGUGAGUAACGCGUGAGGAACCUGCCUUUCAGAGGGGGACAACAGUUGGAAACGACUGCUAAUACCGCAUGACAUAUAUUAAGGGCAUCCUUGAUAUAUCAAAGAUUUUAUCGCUGAAAGAUGGCCUCGCGUCCGAUUAGAUAGUUGGCGGGGUAACGGCCCACCAAGUCGACGAUCGGUAGCCGGACUGAGAGGUUGACCGGGCCACAUUGGGACUGAGAUACGGCCCAGACUCCUACGGGAGGCAGCAGUGGGGAAUAUUGGGCAAUGGACGCAAGUCCGACCCAGCAACGCCGCGUGAAGG
rnacentral:rRNA from 1 species